GCGAGGGCUGUCGCUGACCCUUUGGUCGUGCACGCCGGAGUGUGUCCUCUCACAUAACAAUCCAUCUCACCCUUUGUGCACCACCGCGUGGGCACCCUUUGGGAUCACACCGAUCUCAGAUGGGGGCUCACGUUUUCACACAAAAACCCCCUUUUAAAAAGUGUAGAGAAUGUCCUAAUUUAUGCAAUCAAUACAACUUUCAACAACGGAUCUCUUGGCUCUCGCAUCGAUGAAGAACGCAGCGAAAUGCGAUACGUAAUGUGAAUUGCAGAACUCAGUGAAUCAUCGAAUCUUUGAACGCACCUUGCGCCCCUUGGUAUUCCGAGGGGCACACCCGUUUGAGUGUCGUGAAAACCUCAACCUCCUUGGUUUCUUCUGGAGAUCAAAGGAGGCUUGGACUUUGGAGGCCUUUGCUGGCGUCUCUCUCCAGCUCCUCUUGAAUGAAUUANCGGGGUCCUCUUUGCCGACCCUUGACAUGUGAUAAGAUGUUUCCGUGUCUUGGUCUCUGGCUCUGUUGCCUUUGGGACCCGCUUCUAACCGUCUCGACUCGAGACAAUGUUCGAGCCCGUCUCCCUUCUCGGGAAACCCCUCUCGGCCCCACGAACCCUUGGCCUCAAAUCGGGUGAGACUACCCGCUGAACUUAAGCAUAUCAAUAAGGCGGAGGAA
rnacentral:rRNA from 1 species